GGGCGCAUGGUGUAGUUGGUUAUCACGCUCGCUUAGCAUUUAUUACGUAACUGCGAGAGGUGUUGGGUUCAAUUCCCAAUGCGUCCA